rnacentral:rRNA from 1 species
AUACGGAGGGUGCAAGCGUUGUCCGGAAUCACUGGGUGUAAAGGGUGUGUAGGCGGGGCUGUAAGUCAGAGGUGAAAUCCUACGGCUCAACCGUAGAACUGCCUUUGAUACUGCAGCUCUUGAGUCUCGGAGAGGUCAUUAGAAUUCGUGGUGUAGCGGUGAAAUGCGUAGAUAUCACGAGGAAUACCAGAGGCGUAGGCGGAUGACUGGACGAGUACUGACGCUGAGGCACGAAAGCGUGGGGAGCAAACAGGAUUAGAUACCCUGGUAGUCC